AACAGGGAUUGCCUCAGUAGCGGCGAGUGAAGCGGCAAAAGCUCAAAUUUGAAAUCUGGCGUCUUUGGCGUCCGAGUUGUAAUUUGAAGAAGGUAUCUUUGGGCCCGGCUCUUGUCUAUGUUCCUUGGAACAGGACGUCACAGAGGGUGAGAAUCCCGUGCGAUGAGAUGACCCGGGUCUGUGUAAAGUUCCUUCGACGAGUCGAGUUGUUUGGGAAUGCAGCUCUAAGUGGGUGGUAAAUUCCAUCUAAAGCUAAAUAUUGGCGAGAGACCGAUAGCGAACAAGUACAGUGAUGGAAAGAUGAAAAGAACUUUGAAAAGAGAGUGAAAAAGUACGUGAAAUUGUUGAAAGGGAAGGGCUUGAGAUCAGACUUGGUAUUUUGCAUGCUGCUCUCUCGGGGGCGGCCGCUGCGGUUUACCGGGCCAGCAUCGGUUUGGAGCGGCAGGAUAAUGGCGGAGGAAUGUGGCACGGCUUCUGCUGUGGUAUAGCCUCUGACGAUACUGCCAGCCUAGACCGAGGACUGCGGUUUUUACCUAGGAUGUUGGCAUAAUGAUCUUAAGUCGC
rnacentral:rRNA from 1 species